ACCUGGCCUCCCAGGCUUUGCCCAAUCUGUGGCUUCCCCUGGAAUGUAGUUCUCUGCUCUUCUCUGCUGAUCAGACCCCUCCCCUCAGGUCCAGGCCCUUGGGACCACUCUCUCCAAGUCUCCUCCCCUGCCCCAGCGCCUCUAUCUGUUCCCACUCUGGUCCCAAUUUGUAAUACCUGCUCAUGCAGCCUGCCUGUCCCAGAAGCAGCCUGGGUUCACCAGGACAGGUGUCUGUCCUGUCCCACCAGUCAGGCUCAAAGUCUGUCCAGGAAGGCAAGUCCGACCCUCAGUCCUGGAGGGGGCCAUGCAGUGAGCUGGCAAAGACCUGUACAGGCUCAUCCAGGAAGUCUCGGCCCAGAGGCUGAAGGGUGGCCAACCAGCACAGUUUGCCCAGGAACGAGGUAGGGGAGGGGCGGGGGGCGGUUUCCUGGGAUGCGGGACUUUCAGUGCUAAGCUGGAAUGCCCUGUUCACCCUAGCUGAAGCCACUUGCUCAGAGCCGCACAGCAAGCCCACCACCCUGAACCUCCAGAUUACCAACUCAGCAUUGUGUCCUGACAGUGUCAUCAUAGAUGGUCAACACCGUCACCUGGGCAGCACUGAAGCCCAGAGCGGGAGAGACUGGCUCAAGACCAUGGGGAGCUCAGGAGGGGGAAUUGCACUGAAGAUUUGUCCCAUCGUGAAGCAAGAGCACUGGAACUUACACUCCACCAUCAGGCCCUGUCACAGGAGAACAAAGAAGGAAGGCAGAGGAGAUCAUGCUCCGGCCAGCAGGGAAUCUCCAUUUUUUUCAGCCUCAUACCUUGGAAAGUACAAAGGAGUGAGAGCUGGGACUACCAGCCAGAGGGUUCAUGGAGGUAGUGGGAGGGGAAGAUGGGUUCUGCAUGGAGCCACUCCAGGGACUUUUCUUCUGUCUCACAGCCUGACAAUCACCUCUAGCUGUUCUCAGUCCCAUUCUCAUCAAUGACCUCGUCUCCUGAUUUUGUACAAUAUCUAGGUGACCUUCUCUUCUUUCCAUCUUCAAACGCUUGAUCAUUGAUGCUCCCUUUUCUCUUCUCUCUCCUCCUGGGAAAAGAGAAGGACCAACAUCCCCCUUUCCCUUCCUCCUGUGCUGUCCCGACCCCUCUGAGACCUGGCUCUAGCAGUAAGUCCCUCUCUCUUCUGCAGCACCAGCCUCUGCCCAUCCCUGCCCUCUGCACACAAAGCUCUCACAUUGUCUGCACUUUAAGAACUUUUGUGGCAAACCCUGGCAAAUCCUGCCACUUGUUUCCACUCUUCUCAAAUGGCUUUGAGGUCAUCAUUGACCUAUCCCAUUUGACCCUGUCCUGUAUCUGAUGUUGUACCCUUUCUCCUUGAUCCCACUCUGGCAACUCUCCCACUCCCCUUUCUUGGAUCAACUGUCUUGCUCCUCAGUCUUGAUCAAUGCCUCCUUCUCUCUCUUUAGCCUUGGCCCUUUUUGGCCAGGGAAAUAAAUGUGAAAUACAUAAAGCUUCAUUUUAUCUUAUGAUUAUAGCUAUGUUGAUGUUACCCAAGACCUAAAAGUCACACUCUCUAAUUACACUUCCCUCCUGUGUUCUGGGUCCUCUUGGACCAGUCCUUACUCUGGCUCCCCUCCUGGAUGUCUCCCAGACUUCUAAUUAGAAUUACUGUUUCCUAUAUCAAGCUAAUUAUCUUUCCCACCAACCUCCUCCAUCCUUGGGUGAAAGCAUCACUUGGUUGCAAAAGUCAGAAAUCUGGGUUUCAUUCUUGCGGUAGGUAGAAUAAUGCCCCCAGGCCCCAGGUUUUGACAUCCGAAUCCCUGGGACUUUGCAGAUGUGAUUCAGUUUAGGAUUUUGAGAUGGGGAGAUUAUCUGGGAGAGCCUGAUGUCAUCAUAAGGUUCUUAUAAGAGGGAGGCAGGAGGGUUAGAGUGAGUAGUAAGAGAUGCAACAGUGGAAGCAAGAGGUUGGGGUGAUGUGGCCACAAGCCCAGGAGUGCUGACAGACAUCAGAAGCUGGAAGGGACAAGGAAUGGUUUCUCCUCUGGAGCCUCCAGAAAGAACCAGCCCUGCUGACACCUUGAUUUUAGCCUUGGAAGACUCAUUUUGGACUUCUGACCUUGAACGUUGUAAGAGAAUAAAUUUACAUAUUUUAAACUGGUA
rnacentral:lncRNA from 10 species